rnacentral:misc_RNA from 1 species
UUUCCGUAGGUGAACCUGCGGAAGGAUCAUUAACGAAUUUGAAGGGGGGAUGCUGAGCUGGCCCUCCGGGGCAUGUGCCCGCUCCCCGUCAGAUCCAUUGCAACACCUGUGCACUUCAGAGGGAGGGGUCGGUCCUGCCUAACCGCGGGGCCUUCCCCUUCCUCCACUACAUCACAAACUCUUGACAGUACCUAGAACGUUGAGUCGCCUGAGACAUGGCACAACCUAAUACAACUUUCAACAACGGAUCUCUCGGCUCUCGCAUCGAUGAAGAACGCAGC